GUGGGGAAUCUUAGACAAUGGGGGAAACCCUGAUCUAGCCAUGCCGCGUGAGCGAUGAAGGCCUUAGGGUUGUAAAGCUCUUUCAGCUGGGAAGAUAAUGACGGUACCAGCAGAAGAAGCCCCGGCUAACUCCGUGCCAGCAGCCGCGGUAAUACGGAGGGGGCUAGCGUUGUUCGGAAUUACUGGGCGUAAAGCGCACGUAGGCGGACUGGAAAGUCAGGGGUGAAAUCCCGGGGCUCAACCCCGGAACUGCCUUUGAAACUCCCAGUCUUGAGUUCGAGAGAGGUGAGUGGAAUUCCGAGUGUAGAGGUGAAAUUCGUAGAUAUUCGGAGGAACACCAGUGGCGAAGGCGGCUCACUGGCUCGAUACUGACGCUGAGGUGCGAAAGCGUGGGGAGCAAACAGGAUUAGAAACCCGAGUAGUCC
rnacentral:rRNA from 1 species